rnacentral:rRNA from 1 species
AGCAACGCGAUGAACCUUACCAGGUCUUGACAUCCUUUGACAACCCUAGAGAUAGGGCUUCUCCUUCGGGAGCAGAGGGACAGGUGGUUCAUGGUUGUCGUCAGCUCGUGUCGUGAGAUGUUGGGUUAAGUCCCGCAACGAGCGCAACCCUUGAUCUUAGUUGCCAUCAUUUAGUUGGGCACUCUAAGGUGACUGCCGGUGACAAACCGGAGGAAGGUGGGGAUGACGUCAAAUCAUCAUGCCCCUUAUGACCUGGGCUACACACGUGCUACAAUGGACGGUACAAAGAGCUGCAAGACCGCGAGGUGGAGCUAAUCUCAUAAAACCGUUCUCAGUUCGGAUUGUAGGCUGCAACUCGCCUACAUGAAGCUGGAAUCGCUAGUAAUCGCGGAUCAGCAUGCCGCGGUGAAUACGUUCCCGGGCCUUGUACACACCGCCCGUCACACCACGAGAGUUUGUAACACCCGAAGUCGGUGGGGUAACCUUUUUGGAGCCAGCCGCCUAAGGUGCAACAGAAGUUU